AGAUGGCAGAGCGGAGCAGCACAUGCAUAGAAGGAACCUGGAAUAGCUGUUUGCUACGCCUGUGCUGGUGAUGUUAUUGGAGGCUUCUGGAAUUUCUAGACAAAAGAUGGCGAUAUGUGCGGAGCUCACAUGCGCAAAGCAAACCCGGAAAAGCCCUUCCCAUAGUCCUGCGCUGGUGUCGUCAUCGCAGGCUGAAACUACGUUUCCCAGAUGGCAGAGCAAGCGGAGCAGCACUAGUAGUAAGGAAAUUUGAACAGCUGUUCAGUACUCCUGUGCUGGUGAUGCUGUUGGAGGGUGAGACGACAUUUCUAACAAGUCUCUGCCAUCACCCUUUAGGGACCAAAGGAGAAAAUUUUGUUAAUUUUCUCAGCAGGGAUUCUUGCUACCAGGAGAUGAGGACCUGACGGAUCAAGACUGGGCUCUAUCCAUGUUAUUGUGAGGUGGAAUUCUGAUUAUUUAUUAAAUCCUUGUUUGGCAACCUGGGGCAUUGUGAGAAUAAUGGGGUAAAUUCGAAUGUGGGCCAAUUACAGCAUGACAUUAAUAAGUAAUUUUACUUUUUUAGUUGUCAUAUAGGUAUUGCUAUUAUAGAACCCAUGUUUAUUUUUGCAGAUGCGUCUUAGAGGAUGAAAAAAUCAUGCAUCUAUUUUCCUUUAAAUGGCUAAACAAAUGAGAAAUUAAUAUGGUAGUUCUCUUCCAAGCAAUUAGAAAAUGUUUGUUCUCAUCCAAUAAACUAAUUUGCCUGUCUUCAAUGAA